rnacentral:rRNA from 1 species
GUUGAACGCUGGCGGCAGGCCUAAUACAUGCAAGUCGAGCGGACGAAGGGGGCGUUCUCCUGGAUUCUGUUGCGGGCGGGCGGGUAAUGCACACGAAUCUACCCGGCCGAGGAGGCUGAGGUAACGUCGGGAACGCUAAUAUCACACCCGACGUGAGUGAGAACGUGAGGGUUCAUAGGACCACACGCUACCUGCUGUCACUUGGUUGGAUUAGCUAGUUGGUUAGGUAAAGGCCUACCAAGGCGACGAUCCGUAACUGCUCUGAGAGGCUGAUCAGUCACACUGGAACUGAGACACGGUCCAGACUCCUACGGGAGGCAGCAGUGGGGAAUAUUGGACAAUGGGCGAAAGCCUGAUCCAGCCAUGCCGCGUGUGUGAAGAAGGUCUUCGGAUUGUAAAGCACUUUAAGUUGGGAGGAAGGUCAGUAAGUUAAUACCUUGCUGUUUUGACGUUACCAACAGAAUAAGCACCGGCUAACUUCGUG